ACUGUUUGUGUGUGUGUGUGUGCCUCUGUGUGUCAUUUAUGUGUGUUUGACUCCUGAGUGCUGCACAGGAUAAUCAGUUGGUAUUGAUCAGUUAUCAAGAAACAGCAGUGGCCGUAUGAAUGCAAUGGAAGAAAUAAAGUCUGGACCGCCGCAGUCACCUUCCACAACUCCAUUAUCCAAAACUCCAGAAUCUCCCAGCCAGUCCAUGGGUUUGGGAAGUCCUGAGUUGUUGAAGGAGCUAAAGCAACCACACACUCUGAAACCUGUUUACACACACACCGGUCUCACCAAAGUGUUCUCUGGUCGUGGACGAAUUAAUUCUCCUCCUGCAUCUGCCUCCAACAAUCAGCACACGGCAGAGGGACUCACUCACCGUCUGUCAGGCGGCACAAGUCAUUAAUAUCACUGACCCUCACC